rnacentral:rRNA from 1 species
UACGGAGGGGGCUAGCGUUGUUCGGAAUUACUGGGCGUAAAGCGCACGUAGGCGGCUUUGUAAGUUAGAGGUGAAAGCCCGGGGCUCAACUCCGGAAUUGCCUUUUAAGACUGCAUCGCUAGAAUUGUGGAGAGGUAAGUGGAAUUCCGAGUGUAGAGGUGAAAUUCGUAGAUAUUCGGAAGAACACCAGUGGCGAAGGCGACUUACUGGACACAUAUUGACGCUGAGGUGCGAAAGCGUGGGAGCAAACAGG